GAAAAAUGACCUCUUAAAAGUACUUCCUCAUACCUUUCAGAAAAGGUGCUAUACUUACUAUACUUAGAAAUCCGAGCAAAAAGGUAAAGAGGUGGAAAAGUUGUUAAUAGUUGUUAAAAAUAAAAAUAAAAAUAAACAUCUUUGUAAAACCAUAAGCUACUUCGCUUUACUCAGAAUCCAAAAUGCCAAAAUAUGCAAAAUG